rnacentral:rRNA from 1 species
GUGGGGAAUAUUGGACAAUGGGGGGAACCCUGAUCCAGCCAUGCCGCGUGUGUGAAGAAGGCCUUUUGGUUGUAAAGCACUUUAAGCGAGGAGGAGGCUACCGAGAUUAAUACUCUUGGAUAGUGGACGUUACUCGCAGAAUAAGCACCGGCUAACUCUGUGCCAGCAGCCGCGGUAAUACAGAGGGUGCGAGCGUUAAUCGGAUUUACUGGGCGUAAAGCGUGCGUAGGCGGCUUUUUAAGUCGGAUGUGAAAUCCCCGAGCUUAACUUGGGAAUUGCAUUCGAUACUGGGAAGCUAGAGUAUGGGAGAGGAUGGUAGAAUUCCAGGUGUAGCGGUGAAAUGCGUAGAGAUCUGGAGGAAUACCGAUGGCGAAGGCAGCCAUCUGGCCUAAUACUGACGCUGAGGUACGAAAGCAUGGGGAGCAAACAGGAUUAGAAACCCGUGUAGUCC